rnacentral:pre_miRNA from 12 species
GAAGCGCUGCUUUCCUGGCCUGGCUCUGUGUGGAAGACUAGUGAUUUUGUUGUUGUGUUUGUAAAGGUGACAACAAAUCAUAGCCUGCCAUACAGCCCAGGCUGCCACAGCCCAGGUGUGCA